CCGUUCAAUACUGCGGAGCUCGAGGGCAGAAGAGGGGGGUGGAAUUGCUGGUGUAGUGGUGAAAUGCGUAGAUAUCAGCAGGAACACCUGUGGCGAAAGCGGCCCCGUGGUCUGCUCCUGACACUCAGACGCGAAAGCUAGGGGAGUGAACGGGAUUAGAAACCCCGGUAAUCCUAGCCGUAAACGAUGGAUGCUAGGUGUGGGUGGUAUUGACCCCAUCCGUGCCGAAGCCAACGCGUUAAGCAUCCCGCCUGGGGACUACGGCCGCAAGGUUAAAACUCAAAGGAAUUGACGGGGACCCGCACAAGCAGCGGAGCGUGUGGUUUAAUUCGAUGCUACACGAAGAACCUUACCCAGGUUUGACAUGCAGGUAGUAGUGAAGCGAAAGCGGAACGAUCCUUCGGGAAGCCUGCACAGGUGCUGCAUGGCUGUCGUCAGCUCGUGCCGUGAGGUGUUUGGUUAAGUCCACUAACGAGCGCAACCCCUGUCGUCAGUUACAUGUGUCUGGCGAGACUGCCGGUCUUAAACCGGAGGAAGGUGGGGAUGACGUCAAGUCAGCAUGGCCUUUAUAUCUGGG
rnacentral:rRNA from 1 species